ensembl:lncRNA
AAGGAGCUGAGCUAUAAUUGUUGUUUACUAUCCACUUCUUCAUUGCAAAGAGCUUUGAAUGAUGGUGCAGAAAUUGUUCAGUGAAGAGAGAGUGAAGAAGGCACUUGGACAUCACCGUGACUGCUGCUUUCAAGAGAAGAGUAAUUUGUCUAAUACACAAUCUGUCAUCCUCCCUUCAUGCUGAAAAAGUGAGGAGCUGCUGGAAACUAACCACACAUAUGGUGACAUGGCUCUGUCAUUAACUUGGGCAGCAGACAAAUCUCCCUACAUCACUGGCAUGCAGCACUGGAAACACUUAUCUCUUGGGCUCAUGUUAAGGGCUGGCCAAGAUACACUCCUUCUUCCACCUGUGCUGCUGUGACAACAGAGCCUCUUCCAUAAUUCCUGCUAAGCUUGUGAUGCAGCUUGAACUCAGCGGAUGGGCCAGGUUACAUCAUGGGAGAGCAGAAGGACAAAACUCGUUAGUUUGGAAGCCUGUUCUGGAGACAGACACGAUGCUUGUUUGUGCACCCAAGUUUUUUUUUUGCCUCCUUCCAUCACAAAGAAGAAUGGAGACAUCGUGCCAUUUGAAUGUGUUCUACUUCCCAGCAGCAUAGACUUAUCAUUAGCAGGAACAAAAAGAACGUGUAAAAGAAAAGGCCACAAAUGAACCUGAGAGAAGAUUUUAUGAUGAUCGUCAGCCAUGAUGUCGCAACUCAGGACAGCAUCAUUGCUCAGAGUAAGCUGGAGGCAUUCCUGAUUUGAAAGCAGGUGGUCAGUAAUGGACAAGAAUAGAAUUAAGCAAAAUAUCCAGUGGUUUGAAGAUGUCUUGGAACCAGGUCAUUUAAAAGGUAGAUAAUCCUAAGAGGUCUGACAACCGUAUUAACAUCCAAACCACAAAUGAUGGGUAAUAUGAAAAGCUGGAUUUUCUGACAUACACCCUUUACAUCUGCUUUCUGCAUCAGAGCCAGAAUUAGUUCUACUGUUGUGUUUGUAUUAAAUAUGUGGAUUAAUGGAGCUCAGCGAGAGUGCUGAAUAAGCUCUUCCCAUCUCCAGUGGCUUUGGACGGCAUCUUUCCAUGCAGAGAAAAAUGUGUAGCUUGUUAUAUUCUGUUUCGCACUUGGAAAAACUGUGGCUUGGUACUAAAUCAACAGCUGCUUGUUCAGAAGAAGAGAUUCCAAAGUUCUAUUAGAACUAAGCAAAUUUGGGCUGAGGGCGGCAACAGGGCUGAAAUACUACAAGGAAUCAUUUUGGUUGUGUUGGCUCAGACCGUAGCCCACCAACAGUGCCACUGCUCAAAGAGAACUGACCCCUCUAAUGAAUACCAAAAGACCAGAGUCCCGAUCCAGGAAGAUUUGAUGGCACCUGCAAAUCCAAACAAUGAAGAUAUGUUGCUCCAGUAUCCUGGCUCAGUCACUGCUCAGGGAGCCCAGGGUGACCAGCUUGAUGUAGAAGUGAGCUGUGGAGAUGUCUGAAAUUAGACGAAGCGAAUCCCAUCCCUAAAGCCAGUCUGGGUAGGAGGUAGUGUGGGACGGUGCAAUGCAAGAGUCUACAUGUGAGCUGGAAGUCUGCACUCCCACUGCCGGCGCUGGGGAUCUAGUCAACGUGGUCGGCAGAGCCCAGGAAGCGAUGUGUCUCACUGUAAAGCAGACUCCUACGUUUGCACUUCAAAUCUUUGGCUCAAACACGUAUUUGAUGUUUUCUCACCAACCCUGCCCAUCUGAAAGGCUGCAGAUGUCUCAGCUGCCUCAGUCAGGACAAUCUUCUGAGCUGUAGUUGUGUUGUACUUCCUGCUGGACUAUGUACCCCUCAACAGUGGUGGACUUCAGCUGUUUUCUGUCAAAA